rnacentral:rRNA from 1 species
AACGAACGCUGGCGGCAGGCUUAACACAUGCAAGUCGAACGCUGUAGCAAUACAGAGUGGCAGACGGGUGAGUAACGCGUGGGAACGUGCCUUUCGGUUCGGAAUAACCCAGGGAAACUUGGGCUAAUACCGGAUACGUGCGAGAGCAGAAAGAUUUAUCGCCGAAAGAUCGGCCCGCGUCCGAUUAGCUAGUUGGUGAGGUAAAGGCUCACCAAGGCGACGAUCGGUAGCUGGUCUGAGAGGAUGAUCAGCCACACUGGGACUGAGACACGGCCCAGACUCCUACGGGAGGCAGCAGUGGGGAAUAUUGGACAAUGGGCGAAAGCCUGAUCCAGCCAUGCCGCGUGAGUGAUGAAGGCCCUAGGGUUGUAAAGCUCUUUCGCCAGGGACGAUAAUGACGGUACCUGGAUAAGAAGCCCCGGCUAACUUCGUGCCAGCCGCCGCCGUAAGAC